CUUAAGAGGAGGCUGGGGCAGAAGCAACCUCACAGGUGUGAACGGAGGCACCCACUGCUCCCAGGAUCACAGAAUGCAGCAAUGGCGACUUCUGGUAGUCUCGUUCCUUCUUUCUCCAGUUCCAGCAAGUGCAAUAAAAGAACUCCCUAAAGCCAAGAAUUAUGAAGUGUUUUAUCCCAUAAGACUUCAUCCAUUGCGUAAAAGAGAGACCAAAGUGCCAGAGCCAAAGGAAACAUUUGAAACUGAGCUCAGAUACAAAAUGACAAUAAAUGGAAAGGUUGCAGUGCUAUACCUGAAGAAGAACAACCUAAAAAGCCUGGGGUUGUGUGCAGAGCAGAAAAAGAUGAGUGUGAUCUGCCUGAAAUGUGUGAUGGUAAAUCCAGCCACUGCCCAGUUGACAGAUUCAGAGUCAAUGGCUUCCUUUGCCAAAAUGGGCAUGGCUACUGCUUGAAGGGCAGCUGUUCCACCCUGCAGCAGCAUCGCAUCGCCAUGUGGGGCCCAGAUAAGGAUCUAUAUUUGUUACAUCUUUUACUACAGUGAUAAAAAGCUUAAAGAAAGAAACUUAACAAAAUGAGGGUUAAUUUUGACUCUUUGUUCCAGGGGAAGUCCUUCAGGAAGGGGAAGUCAAGGAGGCAGUUGGUUAUAUUGUAUCCCAAAUCAGGAAGCAGAAGAAGAUGAAACCCAGGAUGAGUCCAGCUUUUUCCUUUUUAUGCAGUCUGGGGCUACAGCUCAUGGAUGAUGCUAUCCAGACUCAAGGUGGGCUUUCCCUCUUUAGUCAAAUAUUUCUGGAAUCAUCCUCAUCCAUAUACCCAGAAGUGAGUUUCCAUGGCAAUCCCAACACUCAUCAGGUUAAUAAGGAUGAGUGUCACAGGGACAAAUUCUUCUCUAUCAGUCUAGUAACCGGGUUUGACUUUGGCCAAGGAAUUAUCCCAUUCCUCCUAGAAACUGUGUCACUUCUCAAAAUUACAAAUAAAUACCUUUAAAAUAUUUAAUUAGAGGUUUUAUAUACAAGUACACUGUAUUUACCUCAAUUCCACCUCUUCUUUUAUCUAGCUCAUCUCUCACUCUCAACUUGUAUUAUUCCCAUUCCCCCUCCCACAAUUUACUGAGUCCAUUUAGUGCUGCUCAUGCAUACACUUGAUAUUGCAUAACUUAUCAGUAAUGAAAACUGAUUCUCCCUCCCUCCACAGCCUAUAAUUCUUUCAUCUAGGAAUGGUGUAUUGUAAAUAGUCUUAUUUCCAUUGUGUGUUGCAUGGUGUGGUCAUUAUGCAGGCCUUUUGAAGGCAAUGACAUUGUUGAGAUUUUAUGGGGUCUUAUCUAGAAGACACUAUCUUGCAGCAGACAUCUCAGUCCUCUGGCUCUUGUAUUUUUCUGCCCUCUUUUUAACAAUGUUCCUAGAACCUAAAGUGUAG
rnacentral:lncRNA from 1 species